UAAUUCAAGUCAACGCGAUAAAAUUCACUCGACCCGGAUACUGUGAGGAUUGACAGAUUGAUAGCUCUUUGUUGAUUUGAUUAAUGGUGGUCCAUGACCGUUCUUAGUGUAGCGAUUUGUCUGGUUAAUCCCGAUAACGAAUGAGACUUUACCCUAUAAAAUAGUAUACUGGUCCUCUGUGUUUGUUUAGAGUGUGGCUUACAUUGUUUCUUUAUGGAGUAGUGUGGUUGUGAUCCAGCUGGUACGGGGCCAGUUUUUACUCCUUAUGGGGACAAGCGACACAUUUAGGUCGCGCUAAAUUGAGUAAUUGAGCAAUGGUUAUAGAUAAUUUAAAGU
rnacentral:ncRNA from 1 species